AUGAAAAGGACUUUGAAAAGAGGGUAAAAAGAACCUGAAACCGUUACGGGGGAAGCGGAUUGCGUUAGCCUGGUGGCUACCUGUGUGUUCAGCCUUUAUGGUGCAUUGAUGCAGGUGGUUAUCUGUCGUGGCUUUUUGGUGGCUGAUAUUGAGUUACUGAAGAGUGAGGGCUCCCCUUUUUGGGUGAGGACGACGGAGUGAUGACGCGAUACGACCCGUCUUGAAACACGGACCAAGGAGUCUAGCGCGGGUGCGAGUCAGAGGGUAGUAAACCCGUGGGCGAAGUGAAAGCGAGUUUUUUUUACAAAACGAGCAGUUUGGGGCGGCAUAGAAUCGUUGAUUCUAGGUCUGACCUUGAGCAGUUGCGCUGGGACCCGAAAGAUGGUGAACUAUGCCGGAGUAGGGCGAAGCCAGAAGAAAUUCUGGUGGAGGCUCGUAGCGGUGCUGACGUGCAAAUCGCUCGUCGAACUUGGGUAUAGGGGCGAAAGACUAAUCGAACCAUCUAGUAGCUGGUUUCCUCCGAAGUUUCUCUCAGGAUAGCAGGCCGACACGAGUUGUUUUGUGC
rnacentral:rRNA from 1 species